CCUACGGCGAGCUGCAGUGAGGAAUAUUGGUCAAUGGGCGGGAGCCUGAACCAGCCAAGUCGCGUGAGGGAAGACGGUCCUACGGACUGUAAACCUCAUUUGCCGGGGAGCCACGGGGUCCUUGCGAGGGCCCGAUGAGAGUAACCGGAGAAAAAGCAUCGGCUAACUCGGUGCGAGCAGCCGCGGAAAUACGGAGGAUUCGUGCGUUAUCCGGAUCUGUUGGGUUUAAAGGGUGCGUAGGCGGGCUGUUAAGUCAGCGGUAAAAGUUCGGGGCUAAACCCCGGCCUGCCGUUGAAACUGGCGGCCUCGAGUGGGCGAGAAGUAUGCGGAAUGCGUGGUGUAGCGGUGAAAUGCAUAGAUAUCACGCAGAACUCCGAUUGCGAAGGCAGCAUACCGGCGCCCGACUGACGCUGAGGCACGAAAGCGUGGGUAUCGAACAGGAUUAGAUACCCCAGUAGUC
rnacentral:rRNA from 1 species